GUCUACAGCCAUGCCACCCUGAAGAAGCUGGAUCCCGUCUGAUCUUGGAAGCUAAGCAGGGUCGGGCCUGGUUAGUACUUGGAUGGAGACCACCUAGGAAGUCCAGGUAUUGUGGGCA
rnacentral:rRNA from 1 species